AGCAGCAAAAUGCUUAUAGUUAUCAGCAGCAGUCUUCAGUGCCAUCACACUAUUAUCAUAAUCUCGCGAGUGUGGAAGAAGAUCCUAAUUCCUGUGUUAUUUGUUAAUUCAUUUUGAUUAAACCUAACCAAACCAAACGUAUCAGUAUAUCUUAGUUUGAGUAGUGUCCAAACGUAUCAGUAUAUUCCGCUUAGAAAGGCCUGAGGAGGGUAAAAUGUAGGCAGACCAUGCCCAUGUUCUGAAAGAGCAGGGAGGCUCGUCUUGAUUGUUUCAUAUUAAUCGAAUUUAUUCAUUUUUGUGAUGAAAUAAAAGUUCAGAAGCUGAGAUUAGUGUAACUCAUUCGGAAUUCUGACAUAUAAACUCUGUGAAAAAAGGGAUCAGGAACUGAUGUGUAAUAUUAGGUACCAUCAACAUUAUUAUAACAUACAUCACAGCUCAAAAGUAAGCAAAUUAAAUUGAUGUUAGAGCCUAAUAACCAGGAAGAUCAAUGAACUUAUAGCACGGAGCUCAUACAAAUGUGACAGUAGCUCAGCAUGUUCAGUGUCUUAUCAGUUAUCAAUGAAUGGUCUUAUGGACACGGUGCAUUGAUCUUGUUAGAUAUGAUGUCGGGUUCAUGGAAAAUAUAUGUUGCAGCAUAUGUUCGGUGAUAAUAAGUUCAGAAAGAAGAAAAGCCACAUGUUUUUUACUCAGCGGGGGAAGAUGAUCUGACCAGAGGCGGAUCUUAGAAGGGGCAAGAGGGGGCAACUGACCCCCUUAAAUUUUAUUUUUUUUAAUAUUAUACAUAUUUUUAGGUUGUAAAAUUGAGCGGGGGAAGAUGAUCUGACCAGAGGCGGAUCUUAGAAGGGGCAAGAGGGGGCAACUGACCCCCUUAAAUUUUAUUUUUUUUAAUAUUAUACAUAUUUUUAGGUUGUAAAAUUGAAAUUGACCCCCUUAAUUUUUUCGUGACCCUCUUAAUUUUUUUUACAAAAAAAUUGAUCUCCCUUAACUUUAUAGUCAGAUCCGCCACUGGAUCUGACCCCAUAAGUCAUAACCACAUGUAUUCGGAAAUUUAAUGGGUAGAAAAAAGUUAAUACAUCUUGAUCAUUGGUUGGGCCAAUUGCUGACGUGGACAUCCACAUGGCACGGUCUGUAUGCUGACAUGGGAAAAUUGACAGACUAUUGUGCUCAAACAUUUGAGUAUGAACAAGCUAAAGUAACAAAUUGUCUGGAAGGGCUUAACAGCCCCGGGUCAUAGGGGUCGUUUGGCCAAGCUUAAGAAAAACUGAUUUUUUGCUUAAAGUAAAGAAGUGGAGUAGAAGUGAGAAGUAAAUAAGCUAAUAAAGUGUUUGGAAAAGAAGCAGAAGCUGUGAGAGAGAAGCUAGCAUUUUCAGCUUCUUAAAAGUGCUUCUCCUUCUUUACACAAACGGGUCAAUAAAAGCAGAAGUAAGAAGCAGGAACUGAUUACGUUUCCCAAAUAGGCCCAUAGUUUGAAUUUCUUCGGGAGGCCCCUAAGGUCAUAGGUUGAAUUCCACUGGGAGGCACGAAAAUAAGUGGAUGGUCAUGCUCUACGCGACAAGUGUGCUAGCAGUUUUCUGAAUUAGUCGAGGUGCACGAAAACUGGUCCGGACACCGGAUAACAAAAAAAAGUCUCGGAAACAAAAAGAAAGAAAUAUGCGUUUUGUUAUAACGCAAAUUCUAAAAUCCUAAAAUGAGUGUCUAAAUUACGGAUAAACAAUAUGGACUCUUCGUUCAAAUAAAAAAAAAAAAACAAGUGUUGUAUCUUUAGCCAUAAUAUACUAGUUAAGGUAGGAAGAUUGACAGACUAUUGUUCUCAAACUUCAAAGAUUGAGUAUGAACAAGCUAAAGUAACAAAUUGUACCGAAGGGCUUAACACCCCAAGGUCAGAGUUUGAAUUUCUUCGAGAGGCCCCUAAGGUCAUAAGUUGAAUUCCCCUAGGAGGCACGAAAAUAAGUAGAUGGUCAUGCUCUACUGGUACGAGUGUGUUAACAGUUCAGUUGCACGAAAGCUGGUCCGGACACCAGAUAACAAAAAAAAGUCUCAAAAACAAAAAGAAACAAGUACGCGGUUUUUUGUAACGCAAAUUUUAAAAUCUUAAAAUGAGUGUCUAAAUUACGGAUAAACAAUAUGGACUCUUCGUUCACAUAAAAAAGCAAGUGUUGUAUCUUUAGCCAUAAAAUAUCACAAAAGAUUGUCUGUACUUUGUCAUUGUUUAAGCCUUGUACGUUCCAUUAUUUUGCGACUUCUUAGAAGAAGAGUGAAGGGCAACAAAAUUGACCAUCAUGGCAAGUGGCAACUCACAAGAGGAGAAAGACACUCCACUGCAAGGCCCAGACGUCAUCGUUCCAAUGUUCUCCGACGUCGUUUUCUUACUUAAAUAACGCCAAUAAUACAUCAAACCUCCACCUUUCUGCACUUGGGUGGAAAAUUCCAUUUUCUUGUCAUACAAAAUAAUUGACUAUCUACAUCAGUUGACUAUCUUGACUCUUCCUAUCUACCUUGUAUUAUAAAAACCCCAUUUAGAUUCUUCACAUUUCAUCAAGUUAUUUAAGCUUCUCCUCACUCUUCUCCAAGUGUCUGCUGCCUGAGUAUUAGAAUAUUCAUUUUCUUCACUUUGAAAUUUUGCUAGAAUUUGUAGCACUCAAAUCAAAUCUCACUACUUCACCAACAAUAACAUGAAGGUUAGUGUCUGCUUUUGGUUGUGCUUAAGUUUUGUUCAACAUGCUACAUUUUUUAUUAUUUUAAAUCGCGGUUUAAUGAAUUUAAUCUUUGUUAAUAUUGCAGAAGGUUGUUAUGAAAAUUGAAUUGCAUGAUGAGAAAGUGAAGCAAAAAGCCAUGAAACUUGUUUCUGGCCUCAAUGGUAAGUACCACGUACCACUACCAGUAUGUCUCACUCGGAAGUAGAGUCUGAGCAAUAUAAGAUUGCCCUGCUAAAAAGCUAAUGUUAUUUUUGUUUGUUGAAAUUUCAGGGGUGGAAUCAAUUGCAAUGGAAAUGAAAGACAAGAAACUAACUGUGAUCGGAGAUAUUGAUCCAAUAAAAAUAGCGGCCAAACUCAGGAAGCUCUGUCACACGGAGAUAUUGACAGUUGGACCUGCCAAAGAACCCGAGAAGAAGAAAGAAGAGCCAAAGAAAGACGACGGUAAAAAAGAAGAGGCAAAGAAAGAUGACGGUAAAAAGAAAGAAGAAGCUGUAAAAGCUGCUGUAGUGGCAUACCCUGGUUUUCAACAGGGUUAUUAUGCUCCCCAGCAAAUGUACCCAGCCUAUUAUCAGCAGCAGCCUUCAGUGCCAACACACUAUUACCAUAAUCUCGCAAGAGUGGAAGAAGAUCCUAAUUCUUGCGUUAUUUGUUAAUUCAUCUCCAGUAUUUCAUAUCAAUUCAAUUUAUUCAUUUUUGUAAAAUGCUGAAGUUCAGAAGGUGAAAUUUCACGUAUGGGAAAAUAUUGUUUGUCGUUAAAAAUCAUUCGCGGAUUUAACAUAUAAACUCUGUGAUCAGGUGCUGAUGUGUGAUAUUAGAUGCCAUCAACAUUGUUCAACAUAAAUCACAAUUCAGAUUACAACUUGAUUAACCAGGAAUCUCAACGAAUUUCUGGAAUGGAGAUCAUACGAAUACAAUAGGAGUCUCUCGUGCAAAUGCCAAACUUCUUGUUCAGUAUCUUAUCCGCACCAGUGAACGGUCUUAUAGUCAUGCUGCAUUGAUGUUGUUAGUAGAAUUAGGUUCACAGCAGACGUAUGUUGCAGUACGAUUUUACAGAUAAUAAGCUCAAAAAGAAGAAAACCCUGCUUAAUUCUUACAAAAUUGGUUGGAUUAAGGCCAAAAUUCGGUAGGAAUGAUCAUUUCCUGUGCCUCAAUCGUUCAUAUUUCAGUGAUCCGAAAACUAUUACUUUGACAAGAUUAUUUCAUCAUCCGUUUUAACCUGAAUAGAAUUUUGAGACUUAAAAUUUCGGAUGGUUAGAUCUAAUUAUACUGUCAGAUCGAUUUUUGUCAUUUAUAAGAUGAAUUUCGGGGCCGUUUGGGUGAGCUUAAAAUAAGUGCUUCUUGCUUAAAAUAAAAAAAUGGAAUAGAAGUUAGAAGUAAGUUAAGACUUAUAAGUGAUUAAAGUGUUUGGGAAAGAAGUAGAAAUCCUGAAACAAAAGCUAACAUUCCUAGCUUUUUAUAAGUGAUUCUUGACUUUUUACACAAGCGGUACGAAUAAGUGCUUAUAAUUUAUAAACCAGAAGCCGAGCUUUUAAGCUCUAAACAAACACCACCGAAAUAUACAUGCACUCUAAACCGUCAUAAACAAACAAACUAUUUUAGUUUGUCAAAAUGCAGGACUUACAAGUACACUAUUUUGCUGCUUCUUAGAAAUAGCGGGUAGGGUAACAAAAUUGAAAAUGACCAUCAUGACAACUCACAAGAGGAGAGGCACCAAACGCACCGGUCUUCCUCAUAUCCGACGUCGCUUCCCAACUUUAAUGUCAAUAAUUCAUUAGACCUGUGCUUCAAUGCGCUGCAUUUUUUAUUUUUUUUAAUCGCGAUUUAGUGAUUUUCAUCUCUGUUAAUUUUGCAGAAGGUUGUGAUGAAAAUCAAAUUGCAUGAUGAGAAAGUGAAGCAAAAAGCCAUGAAAAUUGUUUCCGGCCUAAAUGGUAAGCACGCUUACCACAUACAACCUAAAGUUGUAUUAUGUCUCACUCGGAAGUAAGGUCUAGCUUGUCUGUGCGUCGCUGAAAAGCUAAUGUUAUUUUUGUUUGUUGAAAUUUCAGGGGUGGAAUCAAUUGCAAUGGAUAUGAAAGACAAGAAAUUAACUGUGAUCGGUGAUAUAGAUCCGAUAAAAAAUAGUGGCUAAGCUGAGGAAGAUCUGUCACACUGAGAUAUUGACAGUUGGACCUGCCAAAGAACCGGAGAAGAAGAAAGAAGAGCCAAAGAAAGAUGACGGUAAAAAAGAAGAGCCAAAGAAAGAUGAUGGUAAAAAAGAAGAGGCAAAGAAAGAUGAUGGUAAAAAGAAAGAAGAAGCUGUGAAAGCUGCUGUAGUGGCACACCCUGGUUUUCAACAGGGCUAUUACGUUCCACAGCAAAUGUAUCCAGGCUAUUAUCAGCAGCAACAUGCUUAUAGUUAUCAGCAGCAGUCUUCAGUGCCAUCACACUAUUAUCAUAAUCUCGUGAGCGUGGAAGAAGAUCCUAAUUCCUGUGUUAUAUGUUAAUUCAUUUUGAUUAAACCUAACCAAACCAAACGUAUCAGUAUAUCCCGGUUUGAUCCCGAUUUGAGUAGUGUCCAAACGUAUCUGAGGAGGAUAAAAUGUACACAGACCAUGCCCCUGUUCUGAAAGAGCUGGGAGGCUCG
rnacentral:lncRNA from 1 species